UACGUAGGGCGCAAGCGUUGUCCGGAAUCAUUGGGCGUAAAGAGCUCGUAGGCGGCCUGUUGCGUCCGCUGUGAAAUCCCGGGGCUUAACCCCGGCGUGCAGUGGAUACGGGCUGGCUGGAGGCAGGCAGGGGAGAACGGAAUUCCCGGUGUAGCGGUGAAAUGCGCAGAUAUCGGGAGGAACACCGGUGGCGAAGGCGGUUCUCUGGGCCUGUACUGACGCUGAGGAGCGAAAGCGUGGGGAGCGAACAGG
rnacentral:rRNA from 1 species